AAAGAACAGGGACGGCUCUCAAAGUCGCCUCCACGGAAACAGAGUGUACUACCACAACGUUCCUGGUCUUUCCAGAAGGACGGAGUGCCCAUAGAAGUGAAUAAUCCCAGGUCUACAAAGCACCACUGUACAGCUAACACUGCAGACUUGCUUAUUUAGGUUUCCAGGGAGCACCUGAGCAGAUCUUUCAGUAUUCGCUGCACAUCUCCUGCCUGAAACUCAAGUGCAAUGGAUGGCUCUUUCUACAGCCAUCACGAUGGACGUUCUAACCUCACUGAACCGAUGGACACACGGGUUAUAGGUGUGAGCAUUUACUACAUAGUUUCGUUAGUCUUGUUUUGUGGAAGCUUCCUCUGUGGUUUGCCUCUCAACUGUGUGGCACUGAGACUGCUGUGGAACGAGAGGGCCUCAUCUGCUGUUCCUGUUACCUUCCCAUUAAACCUCACUGUCCUAAACAUCCUGCUCACCACCACACUCCCUUAUUACAUCUACAUCAGCUACAGUGCUUUCAGUAGCUCACCUUUCAUAUUGUACUUUGUGAUAAUCUACAUGUACAUAAUCACCAAUGACAUGUUCACCAGCUGUAUCUGCCUCAGCAAGGUUUUUUUCAUAGUCCGUCCUUUGGGGAACUUUUGCAUUCAGAAUAAAAAAUCCAUGAAUAUCCUUUCUGGUCUGAUCUGGGUUAUCUCUAUAGCUAUUUGCAUGGUAAGGGUAUUCAUAUUUUAUUCACACCUGUACGACUAUGUUUUUUUUUUGGGAUGCUUCGUUGUCAUAGCUUGCAGCUACAUUUACAUCCAGGUGAUCUACCUCAAGCAAUAUAUGGAUGCAGUUGACACCACAGACUUGAGGAGUGCCCUGAAGUUUACUCUAGCUAUGUUAGCUAGCACCACUGUAAGCUUUGCCCCAUUGAUGGUAGGGACAAUCUUACUGUACAUUCAAACAAAUGUAACUGUGUUGUUGACAUAUCUCUGUGUCCUUGUUCCAGUGUCUAGUGUUAAGUGCACACUGGAUGCACUUAUAUUCAUAAUUUUUGCAGGUGGCUUCCCCUGUUAGCUACCUUGCUUAUCAAGAUAUACAUCUGAUUGUACUUCAGUAUAAAAUUUGCUUGACAAAACACAACCAGUAUGGAAGUAACCUCAGAAAUUACAGACCAGUUUUGGCAAAUAAUUCUAGCUAUGUUUAGGGUUUGGACAAAAAAUUGGAGACACUUGUCUUACCAAUGUCAAUAUGCCAUAUGGGCCCCCACCCUUAUAAAAGUUUACCAUGGUAUUGUUGCAGUUUUCCCAUGCUUUUCCUAUGGUUAUACUAUGCAUUUACUUUUAGUAAAUAGUUUACUGAUUUGCCAUGUUUAUUAAUAUGCUUCACCCUACGUCACUCUUCUUUACAAUGCUUACCUAUGCUUUAGCUAUGCUUUUACUAUGGUCAACUUUUAUAAAGGCAGCCUGGACAAUACUAAUUCAAUGUGACGAUUUUGCUAAGAGUUCACACUUUACAUCCAUUAUUGUCAUUUUUACUUCCUUCGGAGAUGUUUGGGGUGGAAAGUCAGCACUUUUAAAACUGCUCCUUUUGAAAGACCAGUCAUUUGCAGUCUUACAUACAGAAGUACCAGUCUGUCAGAUCUGCAGACUUACCAGUCUUGACUGAAUCUGAUAGUUUGUUACAGAAUACAUGUUGUACUGUAUGUGUCGUCAUCUCCUGCAUUUCCAUGAAAUGAAUGACUGUGUGUUGUGUAGUUUGAA